UACGUAGGGUGCGAGCGUUAAUCGGAAUUACUGGGCGUAAAGCGUGCGCAGGCGGUCUGUUAAGACCGAUGUGAAAUCCCCGGGCUUAACCUGGGAACUGCAUUGGUGACUGGCAGGCUUUGAGUGUGGCAGAGGGAGGUAGAAUUCCACGUGUAGCAGUGAAAUGCGUAGAGAUGUGGAGGAAUACCGAUGGCGAAGGCAGCCGUCC
rnacentral:rRNA from 1 species